UGUGAAAGCCCCGGGCUUAACCCGGGAAUGGCAUUGAAUACUGCUGAUCUGGAGGAUCCGAGGGGGGACUGGAAUUCUUGGUGUAGCAGUGAAAUGCGUAGAUAUCAAGAGGAACACCAGUGGCGAAGGCGAGUCCCUGGACGAUACCUGACACUGAGGCACGAAAGCCAAGGGAGCAAACAGGAUUAGAUACCCUGGUAGUCUUGGCUGUAAACGGUGCGCAUUUGCUGUAAACGGAAUCGACCCCGUUUGUGGCGAAGCUAACGCGAUAAAUGCGCCGCCUGGGAAGUACGGUCGCAAGAUUAAAACUCAAAGAAAUUGACGGGGGCCUGCACAAGCGGUGGAGUAUGUGGCUUAAUUCGACGCAACGCGAAGAACCUUACCUGGCCUUGACAUGCAUUUGGUAGAACCAUGAAAGUGGGACGACCCCGCAAGGGGAGGAUGCACAGGUGCUGCAUGGCUGUCGUCAGCUCGUGUCGUGAGAUGUUGGGUUAAGUCCCGCAACGAGCGCAGCCCUUGUGUCCUGUUGCCACUCCCUCGAGAGAGGGAAGCACUCUGGACAGACUGCCUCGCUUAAACGAGGAGGAAGGUGGGGAUGACGUCAAGUCAGUAUGGCCCUUACGGCCAGGGCUGCACACGUACUACAAUGCGCGGCACAGAGGGAAGCUAGACCGUCAGGUGGAGCAAAUCCCAAAAAACCGCGCCCAGUUCAGAUUGCCGUCUGCAACUCGACGGCAUGAAGC
rnacentral:rRNA from 1 species